CUGAUAUUGAAGCACUGGUUCCCAUAUGAUCACUGAAGUUAAGCAACAUCGAGCCUGGUCAGCACCUAGAUGAGUAACCACUUAGGAAUACCAGGUGCUGUAA